rnacentral:rRNA from 1 species
UGAUGCCUGGCAGUUCCCUACUCUCGCAUGGGGAGACCCCACACUACCAUCGGCGCUACGGCGUUUCACUUCUGAGUUCGGCAUGGGGUCAGGUGGGACCACCGCGCUANNNNNNNNNNNNNNNNNNNNUCAGGUGGGACCACCGCGCUACUGCCGCCAGGCAAAUUCUGUUAUCAGACCGUUUUUACGUUCUGAUGUAAUCUGAAUCAGUGCUGAAAAUCGUCUCUCAUCCGCNNNNNNNNNNNNNNNNNNNNGAAUCAGUGCUGAAAAUCGUCUCUCAUCCGCCAAAACAUCUUCGGCGUUGUAAGGUUAAGCCUCACGGUUCAUUAGUACCGGUUAGCUCAACGCAUCGCUGCGCUUACACACCCGGCCUAUCAACGUCGUCGUCUUCAACGUUCCUUCAGGAGACCUAAAGUCUCAGGGAGAACUCAUCUCGGGGCAAGUUUCGUGCUUAGAUGCUUUCAGCACUUAUCUCUUCCGCAUUUAGCUACCGGGCAGUGCCAUUGGCAUGACAACCCGAACACCAGUGAUGCGUCCACUCCGGUCCUCUCGUACUAGGAGCAGCCCCCCUCAGUUCUCCAGCGCCCACGGCAGAUAGGGACCGAACUGUCUCACGACGUUCUAAACCCAGCUCGCGUACCACUUUAAAUGGCGAACAGCCAUACCCUUGGGACCUACUUCAGCCCCAGGAUGUGAUGAGCCGACAUCGAGGUGCCAAACACCGCCGUCGAUAUGAACUCUUGGGCGGUAUCAGCCUGUUAUCCCCGGAGUACCUUUUAUCCGUUGAGCGAUGGCCCUUCCAUUCAGAACCACCGGAUCACUAUGACCUGCUUUCGCACCUGCUCGCGCCGUCACGCUCGCAGUCAAGCUGGCUUAUGCCAUUGCACUAACCUCCUGAUGUCCGACCAGGAUUAGCCAACCUUCGUGCUCCUCCGUUACUCUUUAGGAGGAGACCGCCCCAGUCAAACUACCCACCAGACACUGUCCGCAACCCGGGUAACGGGUCCACGUUAGAACAUCAAACAUUAAAGGGUGGUAUUUCAAGGUCGGCUCCAUGCAGACUGGCGUCCACACUUCAAAGCCUCCCACCUAUCCUACACAUCAAGGCUCAAUGUUCAGUGUCAAGCUAUAGUAAAGGUUCACGGGGUCUUUCCGUCUUGCCGCGGGUACACUGCAUCUUCACAGCGAGUUCAAUUUCACUGAGUCUCGGGUGGAGACAGCCUGGCCAUCAUUACGCCAUUCGUGCAGGUCGGAACUUACCCGACAAGGAAUUUCGCUACCUUAGGACCGUUAUAGUUACGGCCGCCGUUUACCGGGGCUUCGAUCAGGAGCUUCGCUUGCGCUGACCCCAUCAAUUAACCUUCCGGCACCGGGCAGGCGUCACACCGUAUACGUCCACUUUCGUGUUUGCACAGUGCUGUGUUUUUAAUAAACAGUUGCAGCCAGCUGGUAUCUUCGACUGACUUCAGCUCCAUGAGUAAAUCACUUCACCUACGUGUCAGCGUGCCUUCUCCCGAAGUUACGGCACCAUUUUGCCUAGUUCCUUCACCCGAGUUCUCUCAAGCGCCUUGGUAUUCUCUACCUGACCACCUGUGUCGGUUUGGGGUACGAUUUGAUGUUACCUGAUGCUUAGAGGCUUUUCCUGGAAGCAGGGCAUUUGUUGCUUCAGCACCGUAGUGCCUCGUCGUCACGCCUCAGUGUUAAAGUGAACCGGAUUUACCUGGAACACACACCUACACGCUUAAACCGGGACAACCGUCGCCCGGCCAACAUAGCCUUCUCCGUCCCCCCCUUCGCAGUAACACCAAGUACGGGAAUAUUAACCCGUUUCCCAUCGACUACGCCUUUCGGCCUCGCCUUAGGGGUCGACUCACCCUGCCCCGAUUAACGUUGGACAGGAACCCUUGGUCUUCCGGCGAGCGGGCUUUUCACCCGCUUUAUCGUUACUUAUGUCAGCAUUCGCACUUCUGAUACCUCCAGCAACCCUCACAGGCCACCUUCACAGGCUUACAGAACGCUCCCCUACCCAACAACACCUGAGUGUCGCUGCCGCAGCUUCGGUGCAUGGUUUAGCCCCGUUACAUCUUCCGCGCAGGCCGACUCGACCAGUGAGCUAUUACGCUUUCUUUAAAUGAUGGCUGCUUCUAAGCCAACAUCCUGGCUGUCUGGGCCUUCCCACAUCGUUUCCCACUUAACCAUGACUUUGGGACCUUAGCUGGCGGUCUGGGUUGUUUCCCUCUUCACGACGGACGUUAGCACCCGCCGUGUGUCUCCCGUGAUAACAUUCUCCGGUAUUCGCAGUUUGCAUCGGGUUGGUAAGCCGGGAUGGCCCCCUAGCCGAAACAGUGCUCUACCCCCGGAGAUGAAUUCACGAGGCGCUACCUAAAUAGCUUUCGGGGAGAACCAGCUAUCUCCCGGUUUGAUUGGCCUUUCACCCCCAGCCACAGGUCAUCCGCUAAUUUUUCAACAUUAGUCGGUUCGGUCCUCCAGUUAGUGUUACCCAACCUUCAACCUGCCCAUGGCUAGAUCACCGGGUUUCGGGUCUAUACCCUGCAACUUAACGCCCGGUUAAGACUCGGUUUCCCUCCGGCUCCCCUAUACGGUUAACCUUGCUACAGAAUAUAAGUCGCUGACCCAUUAUACAAAAGGUUCAGGUUCUUUUUCACUCCCCUCGCCGGGGUUCUUUUCGCCUUUCCCUCACGGUACUGGUUCACUAUCGGUCAGUCAGGAGUAUUUAGCCUUGGAGGAUGGUCCCCCCAUAUUCAGACAGGAUACCACGUGUCCCGCCCUACUCAUCGAGCUCACAGCACAUGCGCUUUUGUGUACGGGGCUGUCACCCUGUAUCGCGCGCCUUUCCAGACGCUUCCACUAACACACAUGCUGAUUCAGGCUCNNNNNNNNNNNNNNNNNNNNUUCGCUCGCCGCUACUGGGGGAAUCUCGGUUGAUUUCUUUUCCUCGGGGUACUUAGAUGUUUCAGUUCCCCCGGUUCGCCUCAUUAACCUAUGGAUUCAGUUAAUGAUAGUGUGACGAAUCACACUGGGUUUCCCCAUUCGGAAAUCGCCGGUUAUAACGGUUCAUAUCACCUUACCGGCGCUUAUCGCAGAUUAGCACGUCCUUCAUCGCCUCUGACUGCCAGGGCAUCCACCGUGUACGCUUAGUCGCUUAACCUCACAACCCGAAGAUGUUUCUUACGAUUCAUCAUCGUGUUGCGAAAAUUUGAGAGACUCACGAACAACUUUCGUUGUUCUGUGUUUCAAUUUUCAGCUUGAUCCAGAUUUUUAAAGAGCAAA